GACGAACGCUGGCGGCGUGCCUAAUACAUGCAAGUUGAGCGCUGAAGGUUGGUUCUUGUACCGACUUCGUGUGCCGCGAACGUGUGUGUCACGCGUGUGGACUCUGCCUUUGAUUGGGGGACAACCUUUGGAAUCGAAUGCUAAUCCCGCAUAAAAACCUUCAACACAAGUUUUAAUUUUAAAAUAUGCCAUUUCAUCACUCAAUGAUGAUCCCUCGUUGUAUUAGCUAGUUGGUGGGGUAAAGGCUCACCAAGGCGAUGCUACAGAGCCGACCUGAGCGGGUGAGCGGCCAGAUUGGGAGGGAGACAGGGCACAAACGGAUACGGGAGGCAGCAGUAGGGAAUCGGCGGCAAUGGACGAAAGUGUGACCGAGAAACGCGGCGUGAGUGAAGAAGAUGUUCGGAUCGUAAAACACUGUUGGUAGAGAAGAACGUGGGUGAGAGUGGAAAGAACAUCAAGUGACGGUAACUAGCAAGAAAGGGACGGCUAACUACGUG
rnacentral:rRNA from 1 species